UGCAGUCGACGAGAAGCACUUCGGUGUGAGUACAGUGGCGCACGGGUGAGUAACGCGUAGAUGAUGUGCCUUUUAGUGGGGGACAACCUCGUGAAAACGGGGCUAAUACCGCAUAAGCUGGAGGAAAUUGAAAAACUUCAGGAAAGGGGGCCUUUGGCUCUCGCUAAGAGAUCGGUCUGCGUGACAUUAGCUUGUUGGUGGGGUAAUGGCCUACCAAGGCGACGAUGUCUAGCUGGUCUGAGAGGAUGAUCAGUCACACUGGAACUGAGACACGGUCCAGACUCCUACGGGAGGCAGCAGUAGGGAAUAUUGCGCAAUGGGGGAAACCCUGACGCAGCAAUGCCACGUGAGUGAGGAAUGCCUUCGGGUUGUAAAGCUCUGUCCUAUAGGAAGAAUGGUUAAUUGGUUAAUACCCUUUUAAUUUGACGGUACUAUAGAAGAAAGCACCGGCUAACUCCGUGCCAGCAGCCGCGGUAAUACGGAGGGUGCAAGCGUUGUUCGGAUUUACUGGGCGUAAAGCGCGCGCAGGCGGA
rnacentral:rRNA from 1 species